UGCGGGGUAGUUCAACGGUAGAAUGUUAGACUCAUGCUCUAAAUGUUGCGGGUUCGAAUCCCGUCCCCGCCA
rnacentral:tRNA from 1 species